rnacentral:rRNA from 1 species
UACGGAGGGUGCGAGCGUUGUCCGGAAUCAUUGGGCGUAAAGGGCGCGUAGGCGGCUUGGCAAGUGGAAGGUGAAAUCCCUCGGCUUAACCGAGGAACUGCCCUCCAAACUGCUUUGCUUGAGGCCGGGAGAGGUGAGUGGAAUUCCCAGUGUAGCGGUGAAAUGCGUAGAUAUUGGGAGGAACACCAGUGGCGAAGGCGGCUCACUGGACCGGUUCUGACGCUGAUGCGCGAAAGCUAGGGGAGCAAACAGG